UACGGGGGGGGCAAGCGUUGUUCGGAAUUACUGGGCGUAAAGAGCUCGUAGGCGGUUUGUCGCGUCUGCUGUGAAAACUGGGGGCUCAACCCCCAGCCUGCAGUGGGUACGGGCAGACUAGAGUGCGGUAGGGGAGAUUGGAAUUCCUGGUGUAGCGGUGGAAUGCGCAGAUAUCAGGAGGAACACCGAUGGCGAAGGCAGAUCUCUGGGCCGUAACUGACGCUGAGGAGCGAAAGCAUGGGGAGCGAACAGG
rnacentral:rRNA from 1 species